rnacentral:rRNA from 1 species
AACGUAGACGAAAGUUUACGCUAAUACCGCAUACGAUCUACGGNUGAAAGGCGGGGGAUCGCAAGACCUCGCGCGAUUUGGAGCGGCCGAUAUCAGAUUAGGUAGUUGGUGGGGUAAAGGCUCACCAAGCCAACGAUCUGUAGCUGGUCUGAGAGGACGACCAGCCACACUGGAACUGAGACACGGUCCAGACUCCUACGGGAGGCAGCAGUGGGGAAUUUUGGACAAUGGACGCAAGUCUGAUCCAGCCAUUCCGCGUGCAGGAUGAAGGCCCUCGGGUUGUAAACUGCUUUUGUACGGAACGAAAAGGUUUCUAUUAAUACUAGGAGCUCAUGACGGUACCGUAAGAAUAAGCACCGGCUAACUACGUG